rnacentral:lncRNA from 1 species
UCCAGGAACUAACAGAGAAGCCGUCCCUGUACAGGAUACUGAGAAGACUGGCAGGACUUUUUGGUCAUUGAAAUGUAACUAUGACAUCUAUCCAAAAGUGCCACUGGAAGAAUGAGGAGUGGAAUAGAACAAAAGCCACUACAUUUAUGAACAAGCAGAUGGUACCUGGGAGCCUGACUUAGCCAUACUGGAGGUGAAGUGAAGCCUGAUCUGUGGAAAGCUGGGAGUGGCAGUGCAGCACCUG